CUGGGCGUAAGCGUCUGUAGGUGGUUUGUUAAGUUGAAUGUUAAAUUUACGGGCUCAACUCGUGAACCGCAUUCAAUACUGGCAAACUCGAAGGUGGAAGAGGUAAGCGGAAUUAGUGGUGGAGCGGUGAAAUGCGUAGAUAUCACUAAGAACACCAAUGGCGAAGGCAGCUUACUGGGCCAUUCUUGACACUGAGAGACGAAAGCGUGGGGAGCGAUCGGGAUUAGAUACCCCGGUAGUCCACGCCGUAAACGAUGAUCACUAGCUGUUCGGGGUGUCGACCCCCUGAGUAGCGAAGCUAACGCGUUAAGUGAUCCGCCUGGGGAGUACGGUCGCAAGACUAAAACUCAAAGGAAUUGACGGGGACCCGCACAAGCGGUGGAACGUGUGGUUUAAUUCGAUGCUAAGCGAAAAACCUUACCGAGGCUUGACAUCUCUGGAAAGCCUAAGAAACUAGGCCGUGCCGAAAGGAACCAGAUGACAGGUGCUGCAUGGCUGCCGUCAGCUCGUGUUGUGAAAUAUUCGGUUAAGUCCGUCAACGAGCGCAACCCUCAUCUUAUGUUGUAUUUCUCAUAAGAGACUGCCCUGGUCAACAGGGAGGAAGGCGGGGAUGACGUCAAGUCAGCAUG
rnacentral:rRNA from 1 species